GAUGAAGAACGUAGCGAAAUGCGAUACGUAAUGUGAAUUGCAGAAUUCAGUGAAUCAUCGAAUCUUUGAACGCAUAUUGCGCUCUUUGGAAUUCCGAAGAGCAUGCUUGUUUGAGUAUCAGUAAACACCUCAACCUCUUCUUGAUUUUUCAAAAGGAGGGUGGACUUGAGCUAUCCCAACAACCUUUACCGGUCGGCGGGCGGCUUGAAAUGCAGGUGCAGCUGGACUUUUAUCUGAGCUAAAAGCAUAUCUAUUUAGUCCUCGUCAAACAGGAUUAUUACUUUUGCUGCAGCUAACAUAAAGGAUAAUUGUCCUCUUUGCUGACUGAUGCAGGAUUUUACGACACUUUAUGUGUUGUUCAACUCGAUCUCAAAUCAAGUAAGACUACCCGCUGAACUUAAGCAUAUCAAUAAGCGGAGGA
rnacentral:misc_RNA from 1 species